rnacentral:lncRNA from 1 species
UAAACUUGGCUCCGUAAUUACUUCAGCACUCUAACUAUACAUGUAAUUAUUUACCCCCUUAAUUUCAUUUCAAGUGAAUUUAAUACCCCUUCAAAAAUAAAAAAUCACACAAAUAAUGGGAGGUUCUCUACACACACACCUCCAUGUGUCAAUUUCUUUUUAAAAUAUUUUCUAAAGUUAUUCUUUCCCCUUUUUAACCCAUCAACCUUCAACCUCAGCCAUAUCCAUCCAUAUCGUCGUUCCUUUCUAUGCUAUCCAACAACUUUAAACAACAAUACAACAGGAAUUAUGGACACUGAUGCUUCUCAUCCCUUCACAGUAUCAUUGCCAGUGAAGAUUUUACGGAGCCACCAACUACUCUCCAUCCUCUUCAUUAUCACUACCAUUAACUCACAAAUUCACCGCCACUGCUAAGAUUUAUCUUCAUAACCAUUAACUUCAUUGUACCCAUUACCAAGAGUAAUAUCACCUCCAUCGCUGUCAAUUUCAGAAUUCUCACCACCACCAUUAAUAUCAACUCCAAAAUAAUUCACCAUCGAUGUCAAUUCCACAACACUCAUCAACACCAACGACGAGAAAUUGCGCCACAAAAUCGUACCAAAAUAAAUUAUAAUGAAAUUAAAGAAACAAUGGCGGGAGAUGAAAUGGUGAAGUGUGAGAAGGCAUUAACAGGGCCCACCGUCGAUUUCAUAAAAUCCGCAACAAAUAAUUCAAUUUCUCAUGAAUUGGAUUUCAAUUUCCUCAUGAAUUGAAUUUCUAUUUCCUCAUGGAACAUCCUCCUCGGAGUCUUAGGCAUAACAAUUAUCCUCUCUUUAACAAUCAUCAUAAAUAUCUAACAAGCUUUUUCUCCUAUCACCUAUGCCAAAAAAAAUUUGAUGGAAUGGAAGAUGUGGGGGUGGCAAUGGAGGAAAGAUGGAGCAAUUGAAGUAUGAUGUGGGUAUUUGGUAACUGUGAUAGAAAAAGAAUGGUGGAGACAAAGAAUGUAAAAUAAAUUGAGAUUUUAUCAAUUUUUUCUACCCUUUUCUUUCUUUCACGCAUUUUUUGGAGAGUGAAGACACUCUCCUUGUUGGAGGAGAUACUAAAUUUACUAGAAACCAAAUUAAGAGGGUAAAUAAUUACAUGUAAAGCUAAAGUCCUAAAGUAAGUUAUGGGGACAAGUUUAGGAGUUUUUUCUCUAACUAUAAGCAUGAUACAAUUUUACUCUUAUAUAUAAAUAUCGAG